AACGCGAAGAACCUUACCUAGGCUUGACAAGCACAGGAAUGUUGUGGAAACACGGCAGCCAUGGGGCCUGUGCACAGGUGGUGCAUGGCUGGAGCGUGGUGAGAUGUUGGGUUAAGCCGCAACGAGCGCAACCCCCAUGCAGUUGCCAAGGUAAGGCUGGGCACUGCAGAAACUGCCGGUGACAAGCCGGAGGAAGGCGGGGAUGACGAAGAAUGCCCCUUAUACAGGGCUGCAAACAUGCUACAAUGGCCAGUACAAAGGGCAGCGAAACCGCGAAGGGAGCGAACCGUAAAGCUGGAGUGGAUUGGAGUGCAACGACCAUGAAGCCGGAGGCUAGUAACCGGAAGCAACGCCGGGGUGAAUACGUCCGGGUGUACACACCG
rnacentral:rRNA from 1 species